rnacentral:rRNA from 1 species
UGGGGAAUUUUGGACAAUGGACGCAAGUCUGAUCCAGCCAUGCCGCGUGCGGGAAGAAGGCCUUCGGGUUGUAAACCGCUUUUGUCAGGGAAGAAACGAGUUUCUCUAAUACAGAGACUUAAUGACGGUACCUGAAGAAUAAGCACCGGCUAACUACGUGCCAGCAGCCGCGGUAAUACGUAGGGUGCGAGCGUUAAUCGGAAUUACUGGGCGUAAAGCGUGCGCAGGCGGUUAUAUAAGACAGAUGUGAAAUCCCCGGGCUCAACCUGGGAACUGCCUUUGUGACUGCAUAGCUAGAGUACGGUAGAGGGGGAUGGAAUUCCGCGUGUAGCAGUGAAAUGCGUAGAUAUGCGGAGGAACACCGAUGGCGAAGGCAAUCCCCUGGACCUGUACUGACGCUCAUGCACGAAAGCGUGGGGAUCAAACA